rnacentral:rRNA from 1 species
AUUGAACGCUGGCGGCAGGCCUAACGCAUGCAAGUCGAGCGGAUGAAGGGAGCUUGCUCCUGGAUUCAGCGGCGGACGGGUGAGUAAUGCCUAGGAAUCUGCCUGGUAGUGGGGGAUAACGUCCGGAAACGGGCGCUAAUACCGCAUACGUCCUGAGGGAGAAAGUGGGGGAUCUUCGGACCUCACGCUAUCAGAUGAGCCUAGGUCGGAUUAGCUAGUUGGUGGGGUAAAGGCCUACCAAGGCGACGAUCCGUAACUGGUCUGAGAGGAUGAUCAGUCACACUGGAACUGAGACAUGGUCCAGACUCCUACGGGAGGCAGCAGUGGGGAAUAUUGGACAAUGGGCGAAAGCCUGAUCCAGCCAUGCCGCGUGUGUGAAGAAGGUCUUCGGAUUGUAAAGCACUUUAAGUUGGGAGGAAGGGCAGUAAGUUAAUACCUUGCUGUUUUGACGUUACCAACAGAAUAAGCACCGGCUAACUUCGUG